rnacentral:rRNA from 1 species
UAGGGAAUCUUCCACAAUGGACGCAAGUCUGAUGGAGCAACGCCGCGUGAGUGAAGAAGGGUUUCGGCUCGUAAAGCUCUGUUGGUAGUGAAGAAAGAUAGAGGUAGUAACUGGCCUUUAUUUGACGGUAAUUACUUAGAAAGUCACGGCUAACUACGUGCCAGCAGCCGCGGUAAUACGUAGGUGGCAAGCGUUGUCCGGAUUUAUUGGGCGUAAAGCGAGUGCAGGCGGUUCAAUAAGUCUGAUGUGAAAGCCUUCGGCUCAACCGGAGAAUUGCAUCAGAAACUGUUGAACUUGAGUGCAGAAGAGGAGAGUGGAACUCCAUGUGUAGCGGUGGAAUGCGUAGAUAUAUGGAAGAACACCAGUGGCGAAGGCGGCUCUCUGGUCUGCAACUGACGCUGAGGCUCGAAAGCAUGGGUAGCGAACAGGAUUAGAUACCCUGGUAGUCCAUGCCGUAAACGAUGAGUGCUAAGUGUUGGGCUGGUUUCCGCCUCUCAGUGCUGCAGCUAACGCAUUAAGCACUCCGCCUGGGGAGUACGACCGCAAGGUUG